rnacentral:lncRNA from 1 species
GAGAAGAACCAAGUGAUUUAAAUCUUUGGUUGAGUACUCAUAUGAAGAAUGGGCAAUGGUCAAAUGAAGCAUCUAAGACUGUGUAUGUAAGUAAUCUACAUAGUUCACUAUUAACAACAUUAUUCUUAUUACUUUUAAUGUCCAAUACCGACACCAAUGCUGCUGUUUAAAUUAGGACAAUGCAUGCCUAAGGCUUUCCAAGAGAGAACGCAAUGAUGAUACAAAUCCCAUCUCCACUGCAGAGGAAAACAAUGUUUUCCAAAUAUGCUACAAGCAAAGUACAGGACACAAAACCCACAGAAC